GGUCAGGGUAGGCCUAGGGAUGUGGACACUUCAGCAUAAUUUACCCACCUUUACGUUUUUAUUUUUAUUUUUUUAUCUCAUAUGUUUUAUACAGAUUGGAUACAUACAAUUGACUCCAGCCUCCCCCACCAGACUCUCUGUCAACUACUAUACUUAGUGCUUGGAUCCGUACAUUUCUCCUAAUUCCAUUCUCAUAGCCCAUAAAAAUGGAUCAAACAUCUUCUAGACUUAGACUCAUCUGACAUUCAAGCUGCUUUUUUCAUAGUCUAUAAACAUAUACCUAUACCCACGUAUUGAGAGAUGCACAUGAAAAUCUUUCUCUACACAUAAUACUCAUCAAAACAUCAACAACAACUUGGAUUGAGAGUUUUGGUGGAUUGCCCUAAGUGUGGAGGAGAGGAGUUUGGAUCUCUACCAUUGUUUCCAUUGUGUUCUGAGAGGAGCAAGUCUUGGAGAUACGUUAAUUCCUACUUGAAUUCUAUCACAUUGCUAAACAUAUCUUUAAUCUCAUGUAAUAGGCAUUUCCCCUUUUAUUUUAAAUCCCACAUGAAAUGUAUACAUAUGGUCCUGGCUACUACUAGGAAAUCAAUAUUACAUAAUUGGAUUUAAUCACUGGAACCUGAAGCCCCUACUAUCAAUUUAAUGAAAGUUAAACUUCUCCGUGGCUUUAAAAUAGAUGGAUUGAAUCCAUGUUACAAAAAGCUGACAAGGUAAAACGGUUUUUCCAGAUCUGGAAAGGAUAUAUCAAUUCACUUGAGAUGAACACAAG